rnacentral:lncRNA from 1 species
GUGCAUAUGGUUGUGGAGGAGAAAUGAGGCCAGAAGUUACAGAUAAAUACAAUCGCAAGCAGAUAAUUCAUGCUUUUUAAUACCUGGUGAUAAUGCAGGAUCAUUCCUUAACACAGAAUAACCUUAGUCAGUGAGAAUAUGCUCUCAUUAUUAUACAUGGACUUCCCUUGUGGCUCAGCUGGUAAAGAAUACGCCUGCAAUGCAGGAGACCUGGGGUCAAACCCUGGUUUGGGAAGAUCCCCUGGCGAAGUGAAAGGCUACCCACUCCAGUAUUCUGGCUGGAGAAUUACAGGGACUGCACAGUCCAUGGGGUCACAAAGAGUCGAACACGACUGAGCAACUUUCCCGCUUCACUUAUAAACACACCCUGUUUUCUUUUCCAGAAGAUAUAUGUAGUAGAAUUUAUUCCAAUGCCUGUGUCUGUAGGGUACAAACCUGUGCCAGUACCUUAAACAGAGGUAGUAUCUAUUUUGUGAACUCACACCCCAGUGUAUCAGCUCACAUCUUAGAAUUGCUGGUGCAUCUUGUUCUGGAAUGUCUGGUGCUUCCAAACAAGAUAGUGUGUUAAAUUGCUGUCAAUAGAGUGGAAUGGCCUGAAGAACAGUGACAAAACUCCCCUCAGGAAAGAACUUGUUCUCACAGUGAACCCUCCUCUGGCAUGGACACUAUUUGCCAUACUAUCGAAUCACUAAAUCCAAUGUCCAAUGUUUGUGGCUUAGUCAUGUCCAACUCUUGUGACCCCAUAGGCUGUAGCCCGCCAGGCUCCUCUGUCAUGGAAUUUCCCAGGCAAGAAUAUUCGAGUGGGUUGCCAUGUCCUUCUCCAGGGAAUCUUCAUUGCAGACAGACUUUACUGCCUGACAACCAGGGAAGUCCACUAAAUCACUAUUGUGAAGUAUUCCAACACAUCCCAGAAUCAUCCAUCAUGAAGCAUAGUCUCUCAUCCCAAGUUCUCCUCCACAGUACAGUUUAUCAGAAUUUUCUAUGUUCUGGGUCACCAGAUUCUUUCAUCCCAUUUACUCCCACCUUAUUCCAAACAGGAUCAACACUCCAUGAAAACUAUUUGGGCUGGCCAAAAAGUUUCUGUAACAUCUUUCCAAAAAGCUUGAAUGAAGCUUUUGGCCAACCCAGUACUUGGCAUGAUCAUCAAUUCUGUGUUCUUAGAUCCAAAUUCCCUUGCCAUCUUACUCUGGGUAACCUUUGGCUUGGAUGUUCAAGGAAAAGCGCCUAUGCUUCCAUGAAGCUACAUCCUCUUCAUUUUCCUUCAACCUCACUGGCCGUUUCUCUGCCUCUUCUUCUGGCUCCCUGUCUUUUGUCCCAUCUUCAGCUGUUCCAAGUGUCUCAGGAUUCUGUUCUAUAUCCUCACCCCACCAAAUUAACUCAUCCAUUUCCAUGA